UACGUAGGGUGCAAGCGUUAAUCGGAAUUACUGGGCGUAAAGCGUGCGCAGGCGGCCAUGCAAGACAGAUGUGAAAUCCCGGGCUCAACCUGGGAACUGCAUUUGUGACUGCAUGGCUAGAGUACGGCAGAGGGGAUGGAAUUCCGCGUGUAGCAGUGAAAUGCGUAGAUAUGCGGAGGAACACCGAUGGCGAAGGCAAUCCCCUGGGCCUGUACUGACGCUCAUGCACGAAAGCGUGGGGAGCAAACAGG
rnacentral:rRNA from 1 species